rnacentral:lncRNA from 1 species
AUCACAUCUGCCUCUUCCUAUGGUUUUAUGGGUGCAGAGCAGUGGUCUCUCCCCUAGCCUCCAUGCUCAGAAAAAAAAAAAUUAACUUGACGUUAAACUCAAGUAUAUCUAUUUAUUUCAAAGAAAGAAUUCUUCAGAGGACCAGAUGUGACAUUGUUUAAGUUAAAAUGAGAAGGAAGACUUUGACCUAAAGUAUAAUCCUAGAGAAGAAAAAGGUUAGUUUUAUAAGCAGUUAACAAUUGCCCGGCUUUGUGUGGAAGCUCCUGAGAGCGACAGGCCGGCAGAGUAUACAGCGACGGUCAAAAAUGACUGUUUAUGUGGUUAAAGACGUUGACCGCAUAGGAAAAAAAAUUACUGCUAGAAACGCUAUCUUCCCGAAUCCAGAAGAGUCAAAGGUUUGCCGGCAAGCGAAUGCUGUUGUCGCAUGCCCUUGCCCGCGUGUGCAGCGAUCCCCAGGACCCUGGCCUCGCCUGCAUCCCGGGCAGGGAUGUCAAAACCCAUCACGACAUCGCCCUUGCUGCGCGUUGCUGCUAAGUCAUCCUGUGCUCAGCCGCAGGGAAUAGGAGCAGAGAUAAUGAAGCUGGGAAGAAAGGAGUGCUUUAGCGCCCAUCCGCCCCCCUCUGCUGUUACAGCCGGCAUGCAAAGGGGGUUUUGAAGCGACUGUAUACCAAAUUGCAAUAAACAAACAGGAGAAACUUUAUUGAUUCCUUUAUUCUUUGAAGAGCUAAGAUGUAGUAUAGAAAAUUGUGAACAGCACUAUUACAGAGCUUGAUAAGGCAGCUCUCAGAGCAGAACCAAGCGGAUGAGGGAAUUUACAGAUCACCUGCUGCCCUGAGACCUCGGGGCUUUCUGUAGGUAUCUCUGAAUACAGAAGAGCUGAGCCAGCAGGCAUUCAUCUUACGCUUUUCAGGUAAGAGGCUGGAACGGACCUGAUUUCUCCUUUGAUUCUCUCACCUAUUUGUGUCUGAGGUGCCAUGCUGGCCACUGGCAUUCAGAACAACAGCCUGUGAGCCAAAGUCAACCUCCCCUUAUGACUAAUCACACUUUUGGGCAUCAGUGUCUCUGAAGAAUCCUUUCAUUUAGAUGAGAUUUGCCAAAUACGCCACUAUAGAUGAUUCUUUUUUCUAAAGCAUAGAGAAUUUUACCAUAAUGGAUCUCACUGAUGUAAAUCUCUUCUGUUCACAAAUGUAAUCUGUAAACAAGUUUAUUUUUGGAGUUCCCAUUGUGGCUCAGCAGUAAUGAACCUGAGUAGUAUCCAUGAGGUUGCGGGUUCAAUUCCUGUCCCUGCUCAGUGGGUUAAGGAUCCUGCAUUCCUGUGUGUGNAGUCGGGACUUGGAUCUGGCUGUGGUAUAGGUCAGCAGCUGCAGCUCUGAUUCGACUGCUCGCCUGGGAACUUCCAUAUGCAGGUGCAACCCUUAAAAAUUAAAAAAAAAAAAAAAAA